ACCUCAGAGCAGGCGAGAUCACCCGCUGAAUUUAAGCAUAUUAUUAAGCAGGGG
rnacentral:rRNA from 1 species